UAUGAUAACUCAGUAAAGAGAAACAAGAUCUAGGCACACAAAAUAAGAUAGUUUCUCUUUUGUUAACAGCCUGCACAGUGCUAGAAUGUGCUCCUGUUGAUUAAGUCCCUGCCCUUUGUACACACAUCGCUACUCCCCAUUGGAUGGUUUGUUGAGGAGCUCGGAUCAGCCCCGCCCGCAAGAGUCGGUCACGGACCUGGCGGAGCGCCGAGAAGACGAUCAAACUGGAUUCUCUACAGGAAGUAAAACUCGUAACAAAGAUUCUGAAGAUGAACCUGCGGAGGGAUUAUUACCAAACAGCCUGCUUGACCCCGGUCGACCAAUGCAGCCCAACCAACCUCCGGACGCUUAGGGUCUCGCGCUGCCCCCCAGAUAUGUGAAAAAUCGACUUAAGUUCAGGAACAAAGUAUUUUUACUUCAUUAGUUCCCGCCACUGGAAUUAGAAGUAAAAAAGUUCUGGGUCAUCCAGGCCUUGAUGUUCUUGAGACAAUCCUGAAGUUGAACUACGUAAUUAGAUUAAUCUGGCUUCGUAGACAUGUACAGCUGGGUGUCGUCUGCAUAAGAAAAGAAGAAGUGUGCGUGGGGCUUUCUGAAGAUGUUGCCUAAAGGGAGCCUUUAUAAGUUGAAGAGUAUCGAUCCAAGGAAGGAAACUUGUGGAACUCCAUGACUAACUUGUGUGUGCAUUGAGGAAUCAUUGUUAACAAAUUUAAAUCUAUCUGAAAUAUAUGACUUAAACCACCCUAAUGCCUUAAAUCCCUACAUGUUCUUCCAGUCUCUGUAACAGAAUCUUAUGAUCUAUGGUUUCAAAUUCUGCACUAAGAUCCAACAGGAUGAAUAUAGAAGUCCAUUAUCUGAUGCCAUGAAAAGUUCACUUUUAAAAGUGCUGUUUCGUUGCUGUGAUGGAUUCUAAGUCCUCGCUGAAUUGUCUCCAAGUAAUUCCUUUCCGUCUAAGUAAUUGCAUAACUGGUUGUCCGUCUAAGUAAUUGCAUAACUGGUUGUGCCAGAAAAUGCCAGUGACAUAAAUUGUAGAUGUAAUUAUAAUUGAGUAGCUUAUUUUGUCAGAGCCACCCCUCCUACAUUCAGUGUUAUGACAGUUUGGCUUUGCCUUUGUAUUCAUCAGUUUUAUCAGACUUUUUUUGGGGUCCAUGUCCUGUCUUCACUGAAAAAGUUCCCCAGUAAUUCCCAUUUCUUAAUGGCAUUUCACAAAGGUGGAAGAACUUACUGUAGGUGUAAGUGUGUUGUAUUGACCAGUGUUGUUGUGCUGAUUGUUACACCUGACUGUCCUAAUCAGCUCUCAAGUCGCUUCAUCAUGAAUUGGAUGUACUACCCAUCACAGCCCACCAGUGUGACCUAUGACCUCUACUUCCUUUCAACCAAUCAAGAUUUUUUUACUUCUCAUAGCCAUCUGGUCAGAUGUCACACAAUAUGUAAAAAAUUAUGUGAUAAUAAUAAGGAAAAUGUUGGGGUAUGACGAAUACAACUUGACUUCCAAGUUAUGUGAAAAUGAACACCAACCUUCUCGUUAUAUAUUGACCCUCCCCAGUGUGAUCCAGGUCAUGUUUCAUCCUCCCAUAAUUAGUCUCUAUACCAACAUUUCAUCACAGAUCUAUUGAUGAGUCUAUACUUUGUUUUACAUGAUUUGUUUAAGAAACAAAAAAAAGGGAGAGUAGCAGCCAUAUUUAUUAAAGAUUUUUUUUUUCAUAUAACUUACAGAUUUAUUGACUUUGAAGAAACAAACACAAAAUGUUUUAAUGGUAACUUUUACUCUAGGCAUUUAGAAUUACACAUUUUCAAUACAUCUUAGUUACAACUGGGAAGAUAUAAACAAAAAAUCUUCAGAAGAAGAAAGAAAUAUAACCCUAUAUUUCUCAUUUGUUAGCAAUGAAGGGGUGGAAUUGGGUGGGGUUGUGAGGGCCAGGCAGCAGGGGUCACAGGAAGGAUGGAGGUAAGGAUUAGGGGGCAACAAUGAGUUAAAUGUUCCCCCUCCAGACCACAUGGAGGACGAAGCAUCCCCCCAGUGUCCAUAAUUUGUCUGGAGUAAUUGAGAGAGAGAGAGAGAGUGUGUGUGUGUGUGUGUGUGUGUGUGUGUGUGUGUGUGUGUGUGUGUGUGUGUGUGUGUGUGUGUGUAACCAUGGCUCAGGCCUUGCUUUCUGGUAGUUGGAGUGGAGGGGCUCUCCAGAGUGGAGGACCCUCGCUGUCGAACAGGAAUCUGAAGAGACCUCCCAGUAACCAUCAGUGGUGGGACCCUGCAGUUCUGCUGAUUCACAACCCUCAGUGCUCAGCGGACCUGGUGGGUUUUUUGAUGGCGUAUUUCUGAUCAAGGACUCUGAGGUGUCCUCCUUUGUUGACUACAUCCAUGGGACGACAAAACACCUAAAAUCCUGCAAAAGGGCGAUGAGGUACAAGUCAAUGGGCGGCUGCACGAGAACCGCAAACAAGUCUGCAAGCAAAGUAGAAGAAGGCGUUGAGGUUGCUGUCUGCCGUCAUGGAUUCUUGCUUAAGGGACUGAAUAUGUUCUGUGGAGAAAUAUUUGCAUAACCCUUGUAUCUUCAAAGACACCUUGCUUCACAGAAUGUGCAGUUUUUUUGCUCUGAUGUGGUGUGCAAAUACUGGCCGUAUCUGCAAAGGGUUGUGCGUCACUGUCCAGAGCUGCAGGACUAUGCGUCCAUUUCUCUCCAUCAUGCAUGCUAGAGCACAUUCCUGGAUGUGUGAGUUGCAAUGGGGAGGACGUGAUCAACAUGGGGCUGGGACAACCAUUGGGGAGGAGGUUGAACAAGUCAACGGCUUCCUCUCCUGGGCAGCCAUUUUUCCAAGUACGUGUCCAAAGCUGUUUGCACAGAUAUACUUACACUUCAAGCAAUUGGCUGGAACAGGCGAAAAGCAGAAAACCUUGACUGAACAUUGACCAAAAGAUAUAUCAAGACAAUGCAAAGGAUUACAGAGGCAACAAAGGACCUUGAGGAAAUCAACACUGAGUUGUCUCUAGAGAAAGACACGGUCAAGCAAUGGGUGUCAGAUGUUCAACAGUGGACGACAGGACCAACCAGCCCAAAUGACUUGCAGAAGACCAUUGAAGGACCAUAUCUGAGCAUUUAGCAUCGGAAAUUUCAGCUUUAUCGUCAGUCUGCCAUCAUUAAACACAAUGCUACUGUGGAGGAAGCAGACAAACUCCCUCCUUCUAACGAGCUAUUCCUGGCAAUGGGAGUGCAGUACUGAGGCAUCAGCGGGGAUGGAACGUGCAGGACUUCUCUACGUGCUGAAGAGGAGAUUGCACGAAGUUCAAGCUCGUCAGGCUGCAGCAGGUAGCACAUACCAACAGAUUCUUGGGCAGCAAACUUAUUUAGAUGACUCCUCCUUUGAAGAGGAAAACUUGAAGAGUAACUCCUCCAGUGAUGAAGAACUGUGAUUAGUGAAGCUGUACAACUGUGCUCCACCACCACACUCCUUCCCGCAGCCUCCACUCGUGACGCUGAACCUCCUGUCAUCAUCAGACCAAGCAGCAAACCUGGGGUGCCAGAACUGUCUCCGUAGCUGACCGCUCUCUCUGGACCCCCUUUCCCCAAAUGAAUCAGAAUGCACAGAUCUGUCACUGCCCUACUGUAUUUUUUUGUACAUAAUAAAUUACAUCUAACAUAA